rnacentral:lncRNA from 1 species
UAGCAUUUUUCCAGUGUGUGAAAAUCUCUGGCCUCAAAGCACACUUGUGGGAACCCAUAAUUGAGUCUGAGAUCAUCCAACAGCAGCAGAAAGCUCUUACAGCCCCGAGAGCCUCAGGGAGCCAGGAAGCUUACAGAACCUUGCUGAAAAACACGGGAUCUAUAGCUAAAUCCAGAAAGCCCCCGGAGACCAUUUGGACCAACCCCUCCCACAGAAGAUACAGAAUGCCAAAUAUUCCAAUGUAAGGAUGGUCCUGAGAAAAAAGAUCCUUGGAAGUCUUUAGAGUGGUAAUCAUAUGCCAAUGUCCCUGCUGAGAGAUGGUAUAACCUCAUGUUGAACAGCUGCUGUUAGAGUGGUUAAAGCCCUGACCCCUGCCAUUCACUAUGGGAGAAGACAGCAACAGCUUUUCUGCCCCACUGGUGUUCUCUAGGGCUUUCUGACCCAGGUCCUCAUCAGCGCAGUCCCUAGCGUUGAGCCCAGCAACCCUAGGAUCAAGGCCUUGAAAGACAAGGUUUUGGGAUCUCCCAAAGGUAAUUGGGAUGUUUGGCAUUGUUUGCAUAUUAGUCUAGAAAACCUCACAUACAUCACUUGCUCCAGCACAGAUUACACUUCUUAAAAAAGACCCGAAAAGAACAUCAGGAUAUUAAAACACAAAACGCAACACAACUGUAUGUGAAUUUCUGUGCUCAAGAGAACAUAGUGAAAAUUAAUGUUGUGAUCUUUCUGAGCACAUAUCUUUUGCCAACAAUGUUUCUUCAACCACUGUUAACUAAAUCCAAGGACCUAUUACAUCGCAAAUGGAAGAUUAAAGAGAGUUUUUUUCUAA